rnacentral:rRNA from 1 species
GACGAACGCUGGCGGCGUGCUUAACACAUGCAAGUCGAACGGAAAGGCCCUGCUCUUGUUGGGUUCUCGAGUGGCGAACGGGUGAGUAACACGUGAGUAACCCGCCCCUGACUGUGGGAUAACUUCAGGAAACUCGGGCUCAUACCCGAUAUGAGCUCUUGCUCCACGGUGUUGGUUGGUAAGAUUCGGCUGUUGGGGCUGGACUCGCUGCUUAUCAGCUUGUUUGGGGGGUAGUGGCUUCCCAAGGCUUUGACGGGUAGCCUGCCUGAGAGCGUGACCGGCGACCUUAGUCCUGCGAGACGCAGCAGUAUCCUACGUGCGGCAGCAGUCGGGAGUAUUACAGAAUGGGCGGAAGCCUGAUGUAGCAACGCCCGGUGCGUAAUGCCGGCUUACGGGUUGUAAACAGCUUUCGAAGGUGCCGAGGAGUGAGUGACGGUAAUGAGUCAAAAAGCCCCGGCUAACUACGUG